rnacentral:lncRNA from 1 species
AAUGACAAAUCUACUUUAUGUAGGUUGGGUGGAAAGAUCGAGGUAUGCAAAAAAUUUUCUUAGAAUUUGUUAUAAUAAUAAUAAUAAUAAUAAUAAUAAUAAUAAGAGAAGCAAUACAAAUAAAGAUUUUAGCAUUAUCUCACUGAGUAACCGAGUCCUUUCGCCUAAGUAAGCAUUAUGGUUCACGUCAAAAGGUGAGGAUGUUAAGAAAUC